AUGAAGUCGGAAUUGCUAGUAAUGGCAGGUCAGCAUACUGCCGUGAAUACGUUCCCGGGCCUUGUACACACCGCCCGUCACACCAUGAGAGUUAGGAAUACCCGAAGCCUGUGAGCCAACUUAUCCAAGAGGCAGCAGUCGAAGGUAGAACUAAUGAUUGGGGUGAAGUCGUAACAAGGUACC
rnacentral:rRNA from 1 species